GUGAAUUUAACGUUAAAUGAGAGCUCUGACCGCCAUCCAUUGGUCGGCUCAGCGUCUUACAUGUUCGGUAGCCCUUGUUGAGCCCGUUUAAUACGGUUUCACCCAAUAUGGUAUAGUAUGGACUCGAGUCCAUGAGCAGGCCCUAACAUGCAAUGACAAGGCACUCUAACCUGUACGGGGGAUUGGUGUAUAUCCCCGGAUAAACUUCUCUGCGUCCAAAACCGAGGAGAGCCAAAUCUUAUCACCGGAAGGCGGGGUAAUUCUUAGUCUUGCAGGGAAGAGUAAGGCUGGGCGAAGAUGGAGUUUGUAGAGUUUGGUCAUGACAUCUCUGUAGUCGGCGCGAUGCUUUGCCACAUCGGGCGCAUAAUCCUCAUGUACACGGAAUGGAUGCCCUUUAUGUGACAGGUUGCCCCUCAUUCGAGCUUCACGCAGGAUAAGAUCCUUGGUCUUGCAACUGUGACAACAGAUGAUUACUGGGCGAGGACGUUGGCCCGGUCCAGGCACUGGGACAAGGGAGCGAUGUGCACGGUCCAGCUGGGGAUCCGAAUCCAAAACAUCCGAUCCCAUUGCAUCCUUCAAUAGCUUGGCGAAGAAGUCGGUGGGGCGAGAGCCCGCCUCUAGCUCCACCCUUCUAGCUAGCUGACCAUUCAUUUUCAUUACAAUUUAUAUAAAGUCAAAAGGAAGCAAUGGAGUGAGGUGGACAUCUUCCAUGCCGUGAAGGACUUUGGGGAUGGGAUGACUAUCCACCAGGCUGCCAAGGUGUAUAGUGUACCUCAGAAAACCCUGACGGACACUCUGAGCAGCCAGAUAACCCAUGGUUGUCGCAGCGGACCACCCACAUUGCCUGCACCAGAGGAUGAAAAUUCUCUGGUGCAGUACUAUAUCUACUGCGCUAGGCAUGGGGUUUCCUUUCACCAGACAACAGCUAAUGACACAUCCAACAAAAUAAGCAGGUUUUGGCACCGAGGAGAAACAAUCCCACCACUGGGGAAGAGGUGGUAGGAAAUGUUCAGAAGGAAGCACAAGAAACUGAGCAUGAGGAGGCCAGACACCCUGGACAGCGGGAGAGCUGAGUGUGCCACCCGUCCGAUGAUGGACACCUUCUUCUUGGAGGAGAGUGGGUUGAAGGAGAAACCCAGACAAAUCUUUAACUGCGAUGAGUCUUGAGUUUUAUAGCGACCAGAGCAGGCAAUGUCCUGGCUCUCUGGGGUGCAAAACACGUGUACCAGCAGGCUCCGGGAACCAAGGAGCACAUUAGUGCUGGCCUGCAUCCACGCAGCUGAGGAGGAUGUCCCCCUGUCUCCUUCUCCCCAUCGAUGAGCACAAGAGCCGCAUGGACCCUGAGGUGCUCGCUGCGGCUCAAAGGGAAGGGGUUAUACUACGUUGUCUUCCACCACACUGCACCCAUGUCCAGCAGCCGCUGGAUGUGGCAUAUUGUGGCGCUGUAAGGCUGAGUUCUCCAAGGUAGUUGAAGACCUCAGCCAUUUUGACCACUCCUAUAUGGUAAACAAAUCAGAAUUUGCUAGAGUAUUCUUCUACCUGUACCAGCGCUACUAAGACAUGCUGUAUGUGGUGGAAGGGUCCUUACCUUGCUGAAGUGUCAGCCAGACUGAUACAGAAGACUCCCUGUGGUCGCCACAUACCCCACCAGGGAGGAAUACAUGCCCCAGUGGCAGGAGAGGGGUGAGAGGGCCCCCCCACUGGAACCAUACCUGACAGCUGCAUCACCACCGCCCAUGCCUCCCAGUGUGCAACACCUGUAGGAGCAGGCCAUGUGUAUGCUCUCUCCCAGCCACACGAUUGUCGGUUGCUUAAUCCCACCAACACCAGCUUUUCCAAGCCAUCGGCGUCGGGUUUUGUCCACCACCACAAUGCAAACCAGCCCCCCCCUGUCUGUCAACCCCGAAACGGCCUCCUCUGGACCAACUGCCUCCUCCAUCUCUCCUGGUCACUGAACCACAGCAGCCUCAUCUGGUAUUCCUGACCACGGCCAUUUGAAUACAGACACCUCUACAGCACAGAAAAGGAAGAGAAAAGCUCUACCGGCCACCUGUCACGCCACCCAUUGCACCACCCUCAGGUACUUCACAAUCUGUUUGUUUCUCUCUCUCUGUUGUAUAAAUGACUAUUGUUGCUGUAUUGCAAACCAUGUUAAUCAAUGGAGCUUGAUUUUUUAUUGUGAUUUCUGUGAUAAUAUAGAGGUUGAAAUCUAAUUGUUUAUUUUCUUUUUCAUAUGCAAUUAUUUGUAAAAAAAAUGUCUAAAUUAUAAUAAACAUAUUGAU
ensembl:lncRNA